CCAGGAACUGAAACCCAAGAGCCUAGAUGUGCGGCAGGAGGAGCUGGGGGCCAUGGUAGACAAGGAGAUGGCGGCCACAUCCGCAGCCAUUGAAGAUGCCGUGCGGAGGAUCGAGGACAUGAUGAACCAGGCACGCCACGCCAGCUCGGGGGUGAAGCUGGAGGUGAACGAGAGGAUCCUCAACUCCUGCACAGACCUGAUGAAGGUGAGGGGCUGUGACCCGGGGGGGUCUGCACCUGGAGGGCCACCAGUCAUUGCUGUCUUGGUCUCGGCAGGCUAUCCGGCUCCUGGUGACGACAUCCACUAGCCUGCAGAAGGAAAUCGUGGAGAGCGGCAGGGGGGCAGCCACGCAGCAGGAAUUUUACGCCAAGAACUCGCGCUGGACCGAAGGCCUCAUCUCGGCCUCCAAGGCUGUGGGCUGGGGAGCCACACAGCUGGUGGAGGCGGCUGACAAGGUGGUGCUUCACACGGGCAAGUAUGAGGAGCUCAUCGUCUGCUCCCACGAGAUCGCAGCCAGCACGGCCCAGCUGGUGGCGGCCUCCAAGGUGAAGGCCAACAAGCACAGCCCCCACCUGAGCCGCCUGCAGGAAUGUUCUCGCACAGUCAAUGAGAGGGCUGCCAGUGUGGUGGCCUCCACCAAGUCAGGCCAGGAGCAGAUUGAGGACAGAGACACCAUGGAUUUCUCCGGCCUGUCCCUCAUCAAGUUGAAGAAGCAGGAGAUGGAGACCCAGGUGCGUGUCCUGGAGCUGGAGAAGACGCUGGAGGCUGAACGCAUGCGGCUGGGGGAGUUGCGGAAGCAACACUAUGUGCUGGCUGGGGCAUCAGGCAGCCCUGGAGAGGCGGCGGCCAUCCGGCCCAGCACUGCCCCCCGAAGUGUAACCACCAAGAAACCACCCCUGGCCCAGAAGCCCAGCGUGGCCCCCAGACAGGACCACCAGCUUGAUAAAAAGGAUGGCAUCUACGCAGCUCAACUCGUGAACUACUAGGCCCCCCAGGGGUCCAGCAGGGUGGCUGGUGACAGGCCUGGGCCUCUGCAACUGCCCUGACAGGACCGAGGGGCCUUGCCCCUCCACCUGGUGCCCAAGCCUCCUGCCCCACCGUCUGGAUCAGUGUCCUCAAGGCCCCUGGCCCUUACUGAGCCUACAGGGUCCUGGGCCAUGUGGGUGGUGCUUCUGGAUGUCUGUCUCUUAUUUACCUGUAGAAGGAACUUUGGGGUGCAGCCAGGACCCGGUAGGCCUGAGCCUCAACUCUUCAGAAAAUAGAGUGUUUUUAAUAUUCCGAGCUAGAGCUCUUCUUUCUACGUUUGUAGUCAGCACACUGGGAAACUGGGCCAGCGUGGGGCUCCCUGCCUUCUGGACUCCUGAAGGUCGUGGAUGGGCGGAAGGCACACAGCCCGUGCCGGCUGAUGGGACGGGGGUCAGGCAUCCUGUCUGUGGCCUUCUGGGGCACCGAUUCUACCAGGCCCUCCAGCUGCGUGGUCUCCGCAGACCAAGCUCUGGGUGGGCUAGAGGAAUGUCGCCCAUUACUCCUCAGGCCUGGCCCUCGGGCCUCCGUGAUGGGAGCCCCCAGGAGGGGUCAGAUGCUGGAA
rnacentral:sRNA from 1 species